rnacentral:rRNA from 1 species
UUGAUCCAUGGCUCAGAUUGAACGCUGGCGGCAGGCCUAACACAUGCAAGUCGAGCGGCAGCACGGGUACUUGUACCUGGUGGCGAGCGGCGGACGGGUGAGUAAUGCCUAGGAAUCUGCCUGGUAGUGGGGGAUAACGCUCGGAAACGGACGCUAAUACCGCAUACGUCCUACGGGAGAAAGCAGGGGACCUUCGGGCCUUGCGCUAUCAGAUGAGCCUAGGUCGGAUUAGCUAGUUGGUGAGGUAAUGGCUCACCAAGGCGACGAUCCGUAACUGGUCUGAGAGGAUGAUCAGUCACACUGGAACUGAGACACGGUCCAGACUCCUACGGGAGGCAGCAGUGGGGAAUAUUGGACAAUGGGCGAAAGCCUGAUCCAGCCAUGCCGCGUGUGUGAAGAAGGUCUUCGGAUUGUAAAGCACUUUAAGUUGGGAGGAAGGGCAGUUACCUAAUACGUAUCUGCUUUGACGUUACCGACAGAAUAAGCACCCGCC